AGCGCGGGAGCAUCCUGGCGGCGAGUGGCGAACGGGUGAGUAAUACAUCGGAACGUGCCCAAUCGUGGGGGAUAACGCAGCGAAAGCUGUGCUAAUACGGGAUACGAUCUACGGAUGAAAGCAGGGGACCGCAAGGCCUUGCGCGAAUGGAGCGGCCGAUGGCAGAUUAGGUAGUCGGUGAGGUAAAGGCUCACCAAGCCGACGAUCUGUAGCUGGUCUGAGAGGACGACCAGCCACACUGGGACUGACACACGGUCCAGACUCCUACGGGAGGCAGCAGUGGGGAAUUUCGGACAAUGGGCGCAAGCCUGAUCCAGCCAUGCCGCGUGC
rnacentral:rRNA from 1 species